GAUGAACGCUGGCGGCGUGCCUAAUACAUGCAAGUCGAGCGAACAGACGAGGAGCUUGUUCCUCUGACGUUAGCGGCGGAGGGGUGAGUAACAUGUGGAUAACCCACCUAUAAGUCGGGGAUAAUUUCGGGAAACCGGAGCUAAUACCGGAUAAUAUCUUGAACCGUAUGGUGCAAUAGAGAAAGACGGUUUUGCGGUCACUUAUAGAGGGAUCCGCGCCGCAUUGGCUGGUUGGUAAGGUAACGGGUUAUCAAGGCGACUAGGCGUAGCCGAACUGAGAGAGUGGUCGGCGACACUAGAGGUGGGACACGGUCCAUACUCCUACGGGAGGCAGCAGUAGGGAAUCUUCGGCAGUAGGCGAGAGCAUGGCACAACGGCGCCACGUGAGAGAUAGAAGCCUUGGGAUCGUAAUACUCUGUUAUUAGGGAAGAACAGAUGUGUAAGUAACUAUGCACGUAUUGACGGUACCUGGUAAAAAAGCCACGGCUAACUACGUG
rnacentral:rRNA from 1 species